ensembl:lncRNA
GUAAAAGUGCAACUUUUACACUGAAAUUAUUAACUGCGCCAACUUUAUCAUCUCGCAAUGCUCUUCCCAUAAAACCUGCUUUUCAUUGUCAUUUAAAUUGAUAUUUAAUCACAUUUAGUUUGUUAGACUAGGAUGAAUAUAGUUAGAAUUUAGUUCUCGUAAAAUAAUAUGUAUUAUUAAUAAUAAUAUCUAAGGUAUUAUUACCCCACUAAUACAGGUUAAAAAGGUCACAGAGAAACCAAAUUUAUGCUGAUGUCACAUCUUGCCCUACAGACUGUGUGUGCAAAAACAUUUGACUGUAGCUUCCACAGGACAGGUUUAAUGGGGGGAGUGUGAUUUUCACAGCACUAAUAUUGCACCUGUGGAAAUUAUACUCCCCCCACUAAUACAGGUUAAAAAGGUCACAGUGCAACCAAAUUUAUGCUGAUGUCACAUCUUGCCCUACAGACUGUGUGUGCAAAAACAUUUGACUGUAGCUUCAACAGGACAGGUUUGGUGGGGGGAGUGUGAUUUUCACAGCACUAAUAUUGCACCUGUGGAAAUUAUACUCCCCCCACUAAUACAGGUUAAAAAGGUCACAGUGCAACCAAAUUUAUGCUGAUGUCACAUCUUGCCCUACAGACUGUGUGUGCAAAAACAUUUGACUGUAGCUUCAACAGGACAGGUUUGGUGGGGGGAGCUGCCUGGAAUUGAAAUGCUGGUUUCGUCUGGUCAUAGGAGAACUGGCCCCCCGACUGAGCCUGGUUUCUCCCAAGGUUUUUUCUCCAUUCUGUCACCGAUGGAGUUUUGGUUUCUUGCCGCUGUCGCCUCUGGCUUGCUUAGUUGGGGACGCUUCAUUUACAGCGAUAUCAUUGACUUGAUUGCAAAUGAUUGCACAAAUACUAUUUAAACUGAAGUGAGAUAAUGACAUCACUGAAUUCAAUGAUGAACUGCCUUUAACUGUCAUUUUGCAUUAUUGACACACUGUUUUCCUAAUUAAUGUUGUUUAGUUGCUUUGACACAAUCUUUUUUGUUUAAUGCAUUAUAUAAAUAAAGAUGACUUGACAGAGAAUUUAUACUAAUUUUGAGACUAGACAAAUACAACCAGCAAGGCUGAUAAACCCUGUGUUUAUUUAGUAGUUUCUGUAAAUAGCUGUGGGGUAGCAGGCAGCUGCAUGUGCAAAAGAGAACUCAUUCAGGUGUAUGUGCACUUACUGAGAGGCUGCUCUUUUUUGUCCAAUUGAGGCUCUCAAGGCUCUCUGUUCAUGUGAUACAUAACAACUCUUUACAGGAAUACUGGUCAACACAAGUAUUUUGACAUUAUUUUCUGUGCAUGUGUCCGUUUAAGCUCCAUAAGAUGCAAAAUUGACUCUAUUUUGCGUUCACACUGUGAGGCGCAGCAGAGUGCUUGUAGUGAGCACACAAAACCGUGCAAGAGUUAACUGAGUUCAUUCUUCUUUUGCUUAAUUUUUUUUAUGUAGCUUUGCUGUUACAUUUAACGAGGUAUUUGUCCCUUCAAGCUGGAGAAGGAGCAAAAGAGAAAUCAAUUAGUUGUUGGUGGGCUGUCUUAGGCGUGGUUCUCUGCUUGUCCAUGUGAGGCUCUCUCUUAAUGUGACAUGUUCAUGUUCCUUUUUAUUUUAUUACAAGCCAUGCCUGAAAAUGAAAAUUGG